rnacentral:rRNA from 1 species
CAAUAGCGUAUAUUUAAGUUGUUGCAGUUAAAAAGCUCGUAGUUGGAUUUCGGGUGUGAACGACCGGUCCGUCUUUGAUGUGUACUGGUUGGUUGCGCCUUAUUGUCGAGGACGUGGUUCUGGCUUUCAUUAACUGGGACACGGAGUCGGCAGCGUUACUUUGAGAAAAUUAGAGUGUUCAAAGCAGGCUAUCGCUCUGAAUACUACAGCAUGGAAUAACACGAUAGGACUCCGAGCCUAUUCUGUUGGUCUUCGGGACCGGAGUAAUGAUUAAGAGGGACAGUUGGGGGCAUUCGUAUUCCGAUGUCAGAGGUGAAAUUCUUGGAUUAUCGGAAGACGAACAUCUGCGAAAGCAUUUGCCAAGGAUGUUUUCAUUAA